UUAGAAUGUGUAGUGUAGCGGUGAAAUGCAUAGAUAUUACACAGAAUACCAAUUGCGAAGGCAGAUCACUAACACUAUAUUGACGCUGAGGGACGAAAGCGUGGGGAGCGAACAGGAUUAGAUACCCUGGUAGUCCACGCCGUAAACGAUGGACACUAGCUGUUCGGUCUUCGGAUUGAGUGGCUAAGCGAAAGUGAUAAGUAUCCCACCUGGGGAGUACGUUCGCAAGAAUGAAACUCAAAGGAAUUGACGGGGGCCCGCACAAGCGGUGGAGCAUGUGGUUUAAUUCGAUGAUACGCGAGGAACCUUACCAGGGCUUAAAUGUAGCUGGACAGAUUUAGAAAUAGAUCCUCCUUCGGGCUAGUUACAAGGUGCUGCAUGGUUGUCGUCAGCUCGUGCCGUGAGGUGUCAGGUUAAGUCCUAUAACGAGCGCAACCCCUGUUGUUAGUUGCCAGCGAGUCAUGUCGGGAACUCUAACAAGACUGCCAGUGCAAACUGUGAGGAAGGUGGGGAUGACGUCAAAUCAUCACGGCCCUUACGUCCUGGGCCACACACGUGCUACAAUGGCCGGUACAGAGAGCAGCCACUACGCGAGUAGGAGCGAAUCUUUAAAACCGGUCUCAGUUCGGAUCGGAGCCUGCAACUCGACUCCGUGGAGCUGGAAUCGCUAGUAAUCGCAUAUCAGCCAUGAUGCGGUGAAUACGUUCCCGGCUCUUGUACACACCGCCCG
rnacentral:rRNA from 1 species